rnacentral:rRNA from 1 species
UAGGGAAUCUUCCACAAUGGACGCAAGUCUGAUGGAGCAACGCCGCGUGAGUGAAGAAGGCUUUCGGGUCGUAAAACUCUGUUAUUGAAGAAGAACGUGCGUGACAGUAACUGGUCAUGCAGUGACGGUAUUCAAUCAGAAAGUCACGGCUAACUACGUGCCAGCAGCCGCGGUAAUACGUAGGUGGCAAGCGUUGUCCGGAUUUAUUGGGCGUAAAGCGAGUGCAGGCGGUCUUUUAAGUCUGAUGUGAAAGCCUUCGGCUUAACCGAAGAAGGGCAUCGGAAACUGGG